ACACUUGGAGCAGGCUCUCUUGGAGUUGACUUUGCUGCAGUCCAGUUUAUGACAAUGAAGCUGCAUUAUUUAAAGGUCUCACCACCAGUCUUCAAAGUCAGCAACUGGUCUUCUGGAGGACGCUCUAAUCCUUUCUACUGAAGGAAGCUCUCACAGUGGCAGCUCUUGCAAUCAGCUUCACAGAGCUCUCCCCCGUCUGUUUUUAUGAUGGGGAUGAGGUCUAUGACUGAAGAGCUGAAAGGAAUAGAGAUCUGGAAAUGAAACCAAAAUACUCCAGUCUCACAGAUGUUCUGAAAUGAUGUUCAGCAUUAGCAGAAGCUGAUCUUUGUCUACUCACCCACCUAUAUGAAGUACAAGACCCAGCACAGUCUAGUGGACUCAGAGGAUAAAUUUCUUUACAUGCUCAGUGCUAUAGAAGAAACACGUUGAAACAUAACUCCUGAUUUAUUUGGAGUCUAGUGAAGACAAACAAGCAGAAAAUGGCAGUGCUGGCAUUACAGAUGGCUAAAUGAGGACUGGUGGCAAUAAGCAACAAGCCUGGGAUUGAAGUAGGUAGCAGUGUCAGAGGCUGAAAUGAAACCUGGGAAUUUUGUGUCAUAGCUCAGGAGGUCUAUGGGAUUUUGUUUUCUCUAACACUUCUUGGCCUCCCUUUCCCUGCCACUUCCUUUGUUCAUCUUUUCAGUUUGCCCAUUCUUCUUUGUCUUCUCCAAGGUGCCAGAAAAGGACUAAAACCCCAUCAAAUAAUAUAACUAGUUUUCUUGAGAUGGUCUAAUGAAUAUGUAAUGAAAUAAUUGAAGUAGACACUUACUCUCCUAGAAUUUCAGUCUGAAUGACUAAAUUUCUUCCUUUCCCCCCUCCCUGUGUGAAGGAAUCCAAAACUUUUAAAUCAUUAUGUGGUAAAUUUACCCCCACCCACCUAUUGCUUUUGCUCCCACUUUUCCUUUUUUUCUGCUAAUGAGUCAUGAUAUGUAAUUACCUUCUGUCUUUUCUGCAUUUAGUGAAUAUGCCAGUGCAGAACGAUUUAAGAAAAUAAAAAAGGCUUUAAAAAGAGAUGAGGAAACAAGCAACCAUCCAGGACUGCUUUGGCUCCCACUCACCAUUCUUGCUCUUGCCAAGUGUAAUGAAUAUUGUUUUUUUUCUCUAUGGCACUCUGAA